rnacentral:rRNA from 1 species
UACGGAGGGUGCAAGCGUUGCUCGGAAUUAUUGGGCGUAAAGGGUAGGUAGGUGGUCUCAUUUGUCUGGGGUGAAAGCCUUGAGCUUAACUCAAGAAGUGCCCCAGAAACGGUGAGACUGGAGUCCUGGAGAGGGUCGUGGAAUUCCCGGUGUAGCGGUGAAAUGCGCAGAUAUCAGGAGGAACACCGGUGGCGAAGGCGGGUCUCUGGGCCGAUACUGACGCUGAGGAGCGAAAGCAUGGGUAGCGAACAGG